AAACAUACCUUCUGACGCUUCUUAUCCGAAAAUUCAUGUCUGCUUUUUAUACUUUGUCUUUUAAUGAACAACUUUCUGGGAGACAAUCAGCUGUUAGCAAUAUUUAAAAAUGAAAAUGUUAAUAUAAUAAAAGAUGAGUCUUAUUUUGUAUUCUUUAAUUAAAUGUAAAGCAGCACAGCAGAGGGGGAUUGUACGGCAGAUAUUAAAAAAGCUUCCUCUGUACUUUAACUAUUUGAGUUUUUUAUGGCUUAUUCUGGUGUUCAGCGUGAUUUGACUGGGCCGCUGUGUCCUGAAACACUGGAUCUUUUCAGGUUGUUUCUCUGGUCCAGUGUGUUUUGUGGAUCUACAACCUCAUUAUAUGAGGUAUUUUAUGUUACAGGAAUAUAAAAGAUUAAUGUU